rnacentral:rRNA from 1 species
CCUACGGGUGGCAGCAGUGAGGAAUAUUGGUCAAUGGUCUGGCGACUGAACCAGCCAAGCCGCGUGAGGGAUGACGGUCCAGAGGAUCGUAAACCUCUUUUGUCAGGGAACAAAGCCGGGUACGUGUCCCCGGAUGAGUGUACCUUGAGGAAAAGCAUCGGCUAACUCCGUGCCAGCAGCCGCGGUAAUACGGGGGAUGCGAGCGUUAUCCGGAUUUAUUGGGUUUAAAGGGUGCGCAGGCGGUCUGGUAAGUCAGCGGUAAAAGCCCGGGGCUCAACCCCGGCCCGCCGUUGAAACUGGCAGUCUCGAGUGGGAGAGAAGUAGGCGGAAUGCGCGGUGUAGCGGUGAAAUGCAUAGAUAUCGCGCAGAACUCCGAUUGCGAAGGCAGCAUGCCGGCGCCAAACUGACGCUGAGGCACGAAAGCGUGGGUAUCGAACAGGAUUAGAUACCCGAGUAGUC